GCUGCAGACAAGGUAAUGCCUUGGGGCCGGCUAACAUCCACAAUCUAGCCUCAUCAAAAAUGGAGUGGACAAGCUCAAGGUUGAUAGGUGUGGCUCUGUUCAAAACGCAGUCAGUGCACAGCUUCCAAAGUCUCCACAUUGUCAGGAUGAUGAUGGAUUUGACUCCCUUUUGGAUGGCGGGUGGUGCACUGGAAUGAGCAGACUUAAACCAAGAAGUAAAGUACUCCAGGUGGCGGCAUGCAGGGCUGGAUCCCAAGGUGAGCAAAAACAUCAUGCCACACUUCCUGAGCAAAGGAGCAUUGUGUCAGAAGAUGAGAAAUGGAUUCAGUGGCUUGAUCACAGACGGCGCAUGUGUCUUCUGUCAGUCGGUGUCGGAGGCGACACUCAGAUGUCCAACAGCAAUCAGCCACCGCCAGCCAAGCAAACACUUUGCAUUUGAGCGGAGCCCAGCAAUCCCAGAUUGAACUCCAGUGGGGGAAUUUAGUUUCCUUAGAAGAGAGCAUCAUAUGCUGAUUUGGCAGUGUAGGUUCCUGACAAAGAGAAGUUCCAGAAUAUCUCAUCCUUGAUGGCCGGCGAUAGGACCUGAGCAUUGGCAAUGUCGCCUAAUAAGUUAGGUAUAACUCAGUUGUGUAGCCCUCAUAAAUCUUAGUUUUGUACUCUAAAUUUCUUUCUUACACGAAAAGUAAGUUGCCUGAACCUACAUUUCAUAAAAACUGCUGAUGUGUUAUCUUUUGUUCCUAGAGGACCACACUUCUCAUUUCAGGGAAUAGUACUAUCCAUAAACCAAUAGCAUGUCCUGUUGGAGAAAAGUUAAUACUUGCCUGAAAACAGUGGUGUUGCCAUCUCCCGUCACUUCUGUUUUCCAAGAGUUGUGGACUUGAAGCAUGAAACAAUUAAUUUUCUAAGGAGAAGAUCAAAUGUUCGGUAUGCCCUACCUUCCUUGAGAAGAAACCUGCACUUCUCUUUUAGGCUACUCCGUACUGUUUGAUGCAAGUUCUACAUAUACCAAGAUAUAAGUAUAUUACUUCCAUUUUAGUCAUAUUUGAGUGAGGAAGGAUGUUCUUGUUUUAUACCAGCACUAAGUGUUUAUUAAUCAACAACUUCACAACAAUCACUCAGGUGCAUAAUGUAAUCCUGACACAUGGUUCCUUUCAGAUGCCUCUGAAUUAAGAUUGUUAGUCAAAGAAUCUAUAUAAUGCCAUAUGUAACAAGGUGAAAAUUAGGGAAUAAAAUUUCAUGACAUGUACCAAGUACUCUAAAUAUGCUAUAUAUGUGUAUCUCCUGUCAUGAAAUCUUUUAGAGCUUCAAACUACAGUGUGCCAAUUACCUAGAAUGUAUUCUUGCAGAAAGUAAUGAUCAAAUAAAACUGUAGAAAAGAUACUACUCCAGUAAACCUUGGUUUUGAGAAUCUGGAAACACAGUUUUAUAGAUAUCUUGAGCUCUUUUAAAUAGGAAUGUUAGCAGUGAAUGUUGAACUUUACCGAUACCCCAUUCACUAGGUAUAUGCUCUUUUAUAGUUGCAGUUUCAUGGAUGUGUGCGUGAUACAAUGAACGACUACAACACCAUGUCCUUAUGCAGAUAUGUUUAUCAUGAUUACUGGUCAUGUUGCCACAAUGGCAGAAUGCAGAAAGCUAGUAACUGUGCAUGCAAUAUUGAUCAUCAAACUGUUGAAGAAUGCAGAAAGCCAGCAACUGUGCAUGCAAUACUGAUCAUCAAACCGGUGAAGGGCUUCUGUUUUCUCAGGUAUGGCCCUGCCUAGUGCAUAUCCUGUCAUAUGCGCCAUGCCUUCUGGGUCACAAAUCACCGCCUCACCUCCAUGUGGCAUACAAAGGAGGACCUGCAUGGCUGUAUGAGUUCCCGGUGGUAUAUGUGUUUUCCAGCUCAGGCAUCCAUGAAUCCACAUUGUACCGUUUGUUAACCACUGGACAAACUGUCUUGUGCUGUGAGCCUUUGACAAUUGUGCGCUCGGAGCUUCAUUUUCACUGAGCCCGUCCAUAUAUCCAUGCCAUCAACAUAAAAUCCCUUUUGUUGCAAUGAUAAACAUUAUUAUCUGCUACCCUUCCUUUUGGACAGCAUACACUGGUAGUGCAUGUUAUUCUCAUUCGGAGAAUGGAAUUAAGUCAGAGGUUGCUGUUGCAGCAAGUACCUGGUAUAUAUAUAUUGACAUGCCUCCCUAUUUGCUGCAGCUGAAUAUGAUGUGUUCAACAUAAGUGACAACAGCCCAUACACUCUCAUGUGGGCAUGUAUUAUGAUUGAUCCAGGCCGUUGUUGCAGAAUGGCAUCAAAUUUGCAGCUGACAACAUAGAUAAUGCCCUUAGCAGAUAUUAUUGCACCUGAACACGGGGAUGGUUACACAAGCACGCUGUGCCUUAUGAGACAUGGAGGCUGAGGUGCUUCAGCAAGGCAUGGGGUUGACGGGCAAUACCUUUUUAACAGUCGAUGCCCCUCGAGGAGGGGAUGGCUGAAGGAUUGAAGGUGCAAGCCUGGUGGUGGUGGCAUGAACACGACCUUUGCUACAAGCUGAUUUUGGGGUCAUACCUGGCAGCUUGACAUAUCCAUCAAGGGUUCCGGGUAGGAUCUACUAGUUCAAGAUAAUUGCACCCAUGGAAUUGGUGUUGUGGAACAGUUACCCAUGCCGAUGCAAAUGCAGAUAUCACUGUAAUAGUUUUCAGUUACAAGCUGAGGCUUUGUUGGGUUCUUGUUCCUGAGCUUGCUUGUUCCCGUAUAUGUAAAACUUGCUUCUAAAUUCUCCUAGUUUUACUCUGCCUUUUAAUGGAAAAUAG